rnacentral:lncRNA from 1 species
CAUAUCACCCCUACUCCUAUGUUUAGGGAAUUUGACAUAUCCCAUAUCUUUCUAACGAGAAGCUCUACGUACAUAUUCGACCCGUGUAAUUCAAGCUUCAUUCUCACAUGCUUCCUAUCUAACAAGUACCUUUUAAUCAAAACUAGUAGCUUCAUGUUCUCUAAUCCCACUAUGUACAACCUGACUAAUCACAACUUAGGUCUAACCA